ACGCUAGCUACAGGCUUAACACAUGCAAGUCGAGGGGAAACGGCAUUGAGUGCUUGCACUCUUUGGACGUCGACCGGCGCACGGGUGAGUAACGCGUAUCCAACCUUCCCAUUACUGUGGGAUAACCUGCCGAAAGGCAGACUAAUACCGCAUAGUCUUCGAUGACGGCAUCAGAUUUGAAGUAAAGAUUUAUCGGUAAUGGAUGGGGAUGCGUCUGAUUAGCUUGUUGGCGGGGUAACGGCCCACCAAGGCGACGAUCAGUAGGGGUUCUGAGAGGAAGGUCCCCCACAUUGGAACUGAGACACGGUCCAAACUCCUACGGGAGGCAGCAGUGAGGAAUAUUGGUCAAUGGACGGAAGUCUGAACCAGCCAAGUAGCGUGCAGGAAGACGGCCCUAUGGGUUGUAAACUGCUUUUGUAUGGGGAUAAAGUUAGGGACGUGUCCCUAUUUGCAGGUACCAUACGAAUAAGGACCGGCUAAUUCCGUGCCAGCAGCCGCGGUAAUACGGAAGGUCCAGGCGUUAUCCGGAUUUAUUGGGUUUAAAGGGAGCGUAGGCUGGAGAUUAAGUGUGUUGUGAAAUGUAGACGCUCAACGUCUGAAUUGCAGCGCAUACUGGUUUCCUUGAGUACGCACAACGUUGGCGGAAUUCGUCGUGUAGCGGUGAAAUGCUUAGAUAUGACGAAGAACUCCGAUUGCGAAGGCAGCUGACGGGAGCGCAACUGACGCUUAAGCUCGAAGGUGCGGGUAUCAAACAGGAUUAGAUACCCUGGUAGUCCGCACAGUAAACGAUGGAUGCCCGCUGUUGGUACCUGGUAUCAGCGGCUAAGCGAAAGCAUUAAGCAUCCCACCUGGGGAGUACGCCGGCAACGGUGAAACUCAAAGGAAUUGACGGGGGCCCGCACAAGCGG
rnacentral:rRNA from 1 species